ensembl:lncRNA
AAGAAUUCCGGGAGCCGACUUGCCAUGCUCAGAGCACCCUUCCCUGCUUUCCAGCACAUUCGCCUUCCUCCCACAUGGAGCUUCUGGCUCUGCUGUCCCCAGUCCUGCCUUCCCCAGGCCUGGGGCUCAUCCUGCAGAGCGGGGUCCCAGCGCCAGCCCGCUCUCCUUGUCUGACUGGCAGCACCUCCAUCCAACCCUGCUCCACUCGACAAACGCUAAAUAGCAGGCUCUGGCAUCUCCUGAAGUUCUGCUCUCAUUAGCACACUGGGAGCUGCUGCUUGCUUAUGUCUCUCUCUUGCGCAGCAGAACGUGGCAGAGGGUCCUUUUCCUACCCACUAACAGCAGAGAAGGCAGUGGCACCCCACUCCAGUACUCUUGCCUGGAAAAUCCCAUGGAUGGAGGAGCCUGGUGGAGUGACCCCAGUUCAUGGGGUCACUAAGAGUCGGACACGACUGAGCGACUUCACUUUCACUUUUCACUUUCAUGCAUUGGAGAAGGAAAUGGCAACCCCUUCCAGUGUUCUUGCCUGGAGAAUCCCAGGGAAGGGGGAGCCUGGUGGGCUGCCGUCUAUGGGAUCACACAGAGUCGGACACGACUGAAGGGACUUAGCAGCAACCUCCAUUGGUAUCACCUCCCGAGUAUCAGGUUGUGUUCACAGUCAGAUAGUCCAUCCCCUCCUCUCCCAAUAAGGCACCUUAUUCUUAUUCUUAAGAUGGUUCUUAAUCUCUACAACCACCCCAAUAACUUUGAAGACCACAUAUGCAAAGAAUGUGAGAGGUGUAAGCUUUGUCAAGCAAAAACCUUGUGCUAUAAACCAUCAAGUAUUAAAUAUGGUAACAGUGAUUAACUCUUAACCAUAGGACUAUGGGUGUUGUUUACUUCUUCCCUUCUUGGCAUAGUCUCAUUUUCCUCAGUGAACAUUUAUUACUUGUAAUAAUAAAAAGUAGGAACUUCCUUGGAGGUCCAGUGGUUAAGAAUCUACAUUCCAGUGCAGGGGGCAUGGGUUCAAUCCCUGAUCUGGGAACUGGGAUCCCACAUGCUGUGGAGAAACCAAGCCCACGUGCCACAACCACUGACCCUCAUGCUCUGGAGCCUGCUCACCACAACUAGAGAAGCCCAGGUACCACCACAAAGAACACACAUGCCGGAACCAAGACUCAGAACAACUGAAAUGACUUGCUCCUCUGAAUGAUGGAAAUAAUCAUCACUGCCAUAAACACCACAGGUUAAUGUCUGGACUUCAGGCGUGUGUGGCCUGCCCCAUGUAGCCUCCAAUAAACAGGAGUUGUAUCUGAAGAGGCUGACAGACUGAAGGAGUGGGGGCCCAGAGCCGGGCUGGCCGUGGGAGCGGCUUCAGCAGCUCAGAAGCCAGAGGCUCGGUGGCUGGCCAAUGACGCAUCUGGCGUGAGGGCAGGCCCUGGCUGUGGCGGUGUCAGAGGUGAUGCUUCCAUGACAAGUCGUGGACUGCCUCUGCAGCUGCUCACAUACCCUGUGCAGUUGUCCGUCUGAUGGAACCAGGAGCUCCUCAGUCCCAAAGCCUGAGGCUGGGCUCCAGGUUGGCCAAGGUGAAACCCCACCCAAUUCAAGGAACUGAGAGGCCUUCCACCCUGACCCGGGUCCACCCAGCCUGUCGCCCAGCUCCUGGGCUCCACAGGCUGCCUGGAAGGAGCAGGGAUAGAGCAUCCAAGGUGCCUUGUGCUCCAGAGUCCUCUUCGAGAGCCCGGUCCUGGCUCUGAUCCUGCUGUCUCUCUGUCAACGAGGGACCCCCUCAGUGGCCUGCUUGGCCACAGCCUCCUCCCACCUCCUGUGACCUUUGACUACCAGGUCAACACCACCCUCUUCCCUGGCAUCAGCUCACCAAUGCAGAGCCACAGCUCCUAGGGAAGCUGGGACCAUCAGAACGUUUCCCUUGAGGAUCUGGAUUUGGAACCCUGAGUCUAUUGGCUGCAGGAUCAGUCUUAACAGGCUUCAGCAUCUGUUGGCACUUGGAGCUCAUACCAGAGACGUACACAAAUCCCCAGGUGG